rnacentral:rRNA from 1 species
GAUGAACGCUGGCGGCGUGCUUAACACAUGCAAGUCGAGCGAAGCACUAAAGCGGAUUUCUUCGGAUUGAAGGUUUAGUGACUGAGCGGCGGACGGGUGAGUAACGCGUGGGUAACCUGCCUCAUACAGGGGGAUAACAGUUGGAAACGGCUGCUAAUACCGCAUAAGCGCACAGUACCGCAUGGUACGGUGUGAAAAACUCCGGUGGUAUGAGAUGGACCCGCGUCUGAUUAGGUAGUUGGUGGGGUAACGGCCUACCAAGCCGACGAUCAGUAGCCGACCUGAGAGGGUGACCGGCCACAUUGGGACUGAGACACGGCCCAAACUCCUACGGGAGGCAGCAGUGGGGAAUAUUGCACAAUGGGGGAAACCCUGAUGCAGCGACGCCGCGUGAGCGAAGAAGUAUUUCGGU